rnacentral:SRP_RNA from 1 species
GCCAGGCGUGGUGGUGCACGCCUGUAAUCCCAGCUACUCAGGAGGCUGAGACACAAGAAUUGCUUGAACCCAGGGGGCAGAGGUUUCAGUGAGCCAAGAUCAUGCCACUGCACUUCAGCCUGGGCAACAGAGCGAGACUCUGUCUCAA